rnacentral:misc_RNA from 1 species
AAGUCGUAACAAGGUUUCCGUAGGUGAACCUGCGGAAGGAUCAUUAACACGUAUCCACGUAUCAACAAUCUGUGAACUCAAUCUCCCUGCGCGAGGAAAAGCUGUUAGUGUAGUUAGUGGUGGGUGUACAGAUUGGGUAACCAAUUUGUAUACAGCUAUGGUAACUCGGGUUUCGAACCCAAUGCUUUCUUCGUCGUAGGCCUCUUAUCUCCUCCACUUCCAACCAACCAUUUUCACCUUGAAUUCAUCUUGACUGAUGUACUUAUGUAAGAGAAAUCUGGCAUGAGUCUUUAUCUAAACUAAGCACAACUCUUAGCAAUGGAUAUCUUGGUUCUC